CUGAGCUCCUUGGAUCUCUUGUCUCUCUCAGAUGCAGCUUCCUACUUUGUUAUCUGUCAUCUAAUUGAAAAAAAAAGGCUAAUUCUAGAUUAGGAUACAAUCGCCUGAACCAUCUUUCAUGGCUUGAAUGUGGUUACAAAGCAAUUCUUGCAGGCUUUUGAGUUUUUGAUGCAUCCAGGUGGGACUGAGAGGCUGCAAAAUCUCUAGCCUUCUGUCCAAAGCUAUCAUCCAGUCUGAUAAGCUGAGAAGAAUGGGUGUAACAUACCACAGCCCAGGAAGAAAGCCUCCUGCAGGAAGAGCUACAGCAGCAGACACAACCUGUUGAGCUCCAUCUCCAGCAACCAACCGUGGUGGGUUUUCUUCUUCGAAUUUGGAUUCCUACAUGUGAAUAGUCCCUGAUUUUCAUUUUGCCAGCAACACAGAGAGACUGCUUCCGGCUCCGAGUGCCUUUCGGUCUUUGACGACAUCCCUUGAGAGAACUCGGAAGGCUCAAAAGAAGCUGAAGAGUACAUGAACCCAUGACAUCCCCUAGUCUAGGAUGCAGGCCUCCCGAGACAAAGUUAUCACCUCGGAGCUGUGAAAUCACCAAUAAGCCAAAAACCAAUGGAUCUCCAGGUCAUCCAUCCUCAACUGGAUCCAUGUGCUUGUUGCCUUACUGUUCUGGAGGAUAACAUCGAAAAUAAGCCAGCUAUACAGAAACCCCAUAAAGAGAAUCAUGCAGAUUAUUAUCACCCACCAGCUUGUGGCCCCCAUGAGGGGCACACAUAUAUGGAGGAGGAUAUGUUGGUUAGCAAGAGCUUCUCUCUCAGGUUAUUGCCAAGAGCAAUGGUCAACUGCCUGAGUCCUCAGCUCUCCAUACAAGGUGGGAAUUCCAUCAUGGAAGACUUGAUGCUGUGCUGAAACUUAGUCAGACCACACCCCAAACUUCGGGGUCACACUCCAGUGCAGUGCCAAAGCAGAUUACACGUCACUCAAAAAUGUAGCCGCCUCAGAGACGUAGACAGUCCCUUGCUCUUCAAGAGAGCUACUUAUUCCUCCAUAACGAGAGAGACUGGCUGGAGAGUGUCCGAUUUCACAACAACUCCAUCUGCAGCAGGAGGAUACACAGUUUAGUAUAGUAUUAGUUUGGUUUCGGUUUGACUUUUGGGGGGGUUUGUUAGUAUGUUGCUAUUUUGAUUUUGUUACCGUUUUUAAUAUUUUGCUAAGGUUAUUGGCUGUGUGUCUGUGUAUACAGCCCCCUUCAAAGCCCCUUUUGAGAAAAAUGGAUUAUUUGUUAUGAAUAAAAAUAGUGAUUCCCAA
rnacentral:sRNA from 1 species